rnacentral:rRNA from 1 species
CGUGCAUUUAUCAGACCAAAAACCGGCCGCGUCUUCGGGCGCGUUCGCCUUGGUGACUCUGGAUAACUUUGCGGAUCGCACGGUCUAGCACCGGCGACGGAUCAUUCAAGUGUCUGCCCUAUCAACUUUCGUCGGUACGGUAUUUGCCUACCGAGGUUCUUACGGGUGACGGGGAAUCAGGGUUCGAUUCCGGAGAGGGAGCCUGAGAAACGGCUACCACAUCCAAGGAAGGCAGCAGGCGCGCAAAUUACCCAUUCCCGACGCGGGGAGGUAGUGACGAAAAAUAACAAUGCAGGACUCGUUCGAGGCCCUGUAAUUGGAAUGAGUACACUUUAAAAGCUUUAACGAGUAUCCAUUGGAGGGCAAGUCUGGUGCCAGCAGCCGCGGUAAUUCCAGCUCCAAAAGUAUAUAUUUAAGUUGUUGCGGUUAAAAAGCUCGUAGUUGGAUUUUGGGCGCAGGCGGCCGGUCCGUCGCAAGGCGUGUACUGGACGUCCUGGCCUUCCCUCCGGUUCUCCGCCGGUGCUCUUGACUGAGUGUCGGCGGCGGCCGGAACGUUUACUUUGAAAAAAUUAGAGUGUUCUAAGCAGGCUCUCGAGCCUGGAUAAUGGUGCAUGGAAUAAUGGAAUAGGACCUCGGUUCUAUUUUGUUGGUUUUCGGAGCGCGAGGUAAUGAUUAAGAGGGACAGACGGGGGCAUUCGUACUGUGCCGUUAGAGGUGAAAUUCUUGGAUCGGCGCAAGACGAACGACUGCGAAAGCAUUUGCCAAGAAUGUUUUCUUUAAUCAAGAGCGAAAGUCAGAGGUUCGAAGACGAUCAGAUACCGUCCUAGUUCUGACUAUAAACGAUGCCAACUAGCGAUCGGGGGGCGUUACAUUGACGACCCCUCCGGCAGCUUACGGGAAACCAAAGUCUUUGGGUUCCGGGGGAAGUAUGGUUGCAAAGCUGAAACUUAAAGGAAUUGACGGAAGGGCACCACCAGGAGUGGAGCCUGCGGCUUAAUUUGACUCAACACGGGAAAUCUCACCCGGCCCGGACACAGUGAGGAUUGACAGAUUGAGAGCUCUUUCUUGAUUCUG